GAUGAACGCUGGCGGCGUGCCUAAUACAUGCAAGUCGAGCGCACAGACGAGGAGCUUGCUCCUCUGACGUUAGCGGCGGACGGGUGAGUAACACGUUGAUAACCUACCUAUAAGACUGGGAUAACUGCGGGAAACCGGAGCUAAUACCGGAUAAUAUAUUGAUCUGCAUGGUUCAAUAGUGAAAGACGGUUUUGCUGUCACUUAUAGAUGGAUCCGCGCCGCAUUAGCUAGUUGGUAAGGUAACGGCUUACCAAGGCAACGAUGCGUAGCCGACCUGAGAGGGUGAUCGGCCACACUGGAACUGAGACACGGUCCAGACUCCUACGGGAGGCGCAAGUAGGGAAUUUUCCGCAAUGGGCGAAAGCUUGACGGAGCAACGCCGCGUGAGUGAUGAAGGUCUUCGGAUCGUAAAACUCUGUUAUUAGGGAAGAACAAAUGUGUAAGUAACUAUGCACGUCUUGACGGUACCUAAUCAGAAAGCCACGGCUAACUACGUG
rnacentral:rRNA from 1 species